rnacentral:rRNA from 1 species
UGGGGAAUAUUGCACAAUGGGGGAAACCCUGAUGCAGCGACGCCGCGUGAACGAAGAAGGUAUUCGUAUCGUAAAGUUCUGUCCUAUGGGAAGAUAAUGACAGUACCAUAGAAGAAAGCUCCGGCUAAAUACGUGCCAGCAGCCGCGGUAAUACGUAUGGAGCGAGCGUUGUCCGGAAUUAUUGGGCGUAAAGGGUACGCAGGCGGUUUAAUAAGUCGAAUGUUAAAGAUCGGGGCUCAACCCCGUAAAGCAUUGGAAACUGAUAAACUUGAGUAGUGGAGAGGAAAGUGGAAUUCCUAGUGUAGUGGUGAAAUACGUAGAUAUUAGGAGGAAUACCAGUAGCGAAGGCGACUUUCUGGACACAAACUGACGCUGAGGUACGAAAGCGUGGAGAGCAAACAGG